rnacentral:rRNA from 1 species
GACGGAGGGCGCAAGCGUUGUUCGGAAUUACUGGGCGUAAAGCGCGCGCAGGCGGGAAGAUAAGUCUGGAGUGAAAUUCCGGGGCUCAACUCCGGAGCUGCUUUGGAUACUGUUUUUCUAGGGGCCGGUAGAGGCCGGUGGAAUUCCCGGUGUAGCGGUGGAAUGCGUAGAGAUCGGGAAGAACACCCGUGGCGAAGGCGGCCGGCUGGGCCGGAUCCGACGCUGAGGCGCGAAAGCGUGGGGAGCGAACAGG